UGGGGAGGUGAAUUGAUUUGCAAAGCAGCCCGACACACAGGCUCUUGUUUCUCCUGGUAAUCAAACAAUUCAUCUUUCUACCCCUAGGGGCCACGGGAAAUUCGAUCCUGGAGGAGCCCCGGGACUCUUUGUAGUAGUGGGAGCAGAAAAAUUAGCCACGUGUCUUUUAAAAUGAUGAAUUGCCACUCACACAACCUGGGUGCAGUGUAGGCUGUUAGGGUGGGUGGGCCAAAGCUGAGGUGGGCAGGCCCUCCACGACCAAGGGCUGCCUGCCUAGGUUGGCAGGUGCAAAACAGCAGUGCUUGGGGAGGGUGAGCGGCUCUUUGUGUGCCAGGCAUCAGGUGUAGGUUACCUUUAAAUCCUUAAAACCACCUGCAACGCAGGUAUUAAAAUUAUAAAAUGUUGGAGUUCCCGUUGUGGCUCAGCAGUAAUGAACCCGGCUUGUAUCCACGAGGUUUUGGGUUCCAUCCCUGACCUCCCUUGGUAGGCUUUGCUGUGAGCUGUGGUGUAGGUUGCAGAUGUGGCUUGGAUCUGGUGUUAUCGUGGCUGUGGUGUAGGCCAGAAGCUGCAGUUCCAAUUUGACCCCUAGCCUGGGAACUUCCAUACGCUGCAGGUGUGGCCCUAAAAGAAAAAUUUAUAAAACAUUGAAAUAGUAAAAGAUGCCAAACUAUUCAUGAAUGUUCCUUUUUUAAUUUUUUCUUUUAAAAUAAGACCAGAAACCCCUCAAAUUUCAGGUUUUGGAUUCUGGUGGUAGAAGAUUAAAUCAUAAUGGAGUACUUAACAUUUGGGUUUUUUUAAAAACAACAACAACAGCAAACAUUAGGGUAUGUUUGUAUAAUAGUUAAGAAUGUAUUUAUUGUAGUUGGGGGAAGAGAAAGGUAAGGAAUACACAUAUGGCUCAUCCUGGAACACGAGUGAGGCUAGAGGAAGCGUUUUCUGGUCGAAUUGAGAAACCGCUAAGGAGGAAAACUGAUAGAUCUUAAAAUAGGUGUAAUAUAUUAUAUAUCCCUGAAAAUGGGCCAAAACAGAUUGCUUCCCUUAAAGUCAUAUUGGGUGUUCAAAUCUCCGGUUACCUGGAAUGCAACUGUACUUCCUAUAUUUAACCAGGCUUUUUAUAAACCGGUUCUCUUGACACCUCGAGCUGACAGCUCCAUCCUGGGUGGUUAUUGAAUACCAAGUUUGCCUUUCUUCACGUUGAGGGUCCUCAGAAAUAGAAAACCAGAAAGGAGCCUUCUAAAAAGUCUGGCGCUCUGGGCCCAUGCUCUUCAGCAGGGUGGCUGCGAGGGGCCCCACGAACAGAAGAAUAAGACGUCAGAUGGGCAGCAUUUCCAGAAGUCCUUUCCACAGCUUAAAAACAAGGCAGAAAAGAACCAAGAGAAAAGAGAAGAAUUAGCCGUUCUUCUCCUAACGUGUCGGUCUCUGGACGUAAGGUCAGCAGCUGCCUUAUCCAGAAACGGCAAGAGUAGCCCUGACCCCCUCGGUCCGGGAGGAAGUGUCCCCCCUUAACCCCGAUCCGAGCGUCAGCUCAUCGGAGGGAUCGAAGGGCCUAAUACACAGUGUCCUCACUGUUCUCGGGCCCUGAGGGCUGUCGGAAGUGCGGGUCCCUGGAACUCCCAGUUGUGCCACCUGAGAAGAAAAUCCCCCUGAGGACCAGGAGGCGCCAAGAAAAGGCAGAAAAAGAGUGGAGCUGCUUCAGAGAGCGGGGAGCACACUUUCUUCCAAAGUGGAUUUGCAAGGACUCAAAAGAAAACCGUACUUGACGUGGAGGAGACGGUGAGGCGCAGUUAGUGUAUGUUUUGAGCAACACACCCGAAACUAACUAGAAUAAAAAAUGAGACACAUACACCAGGGCAUAGAUACAUUAUUUCCGUCUCCCGGCCUUAAACUGAGCGGCGUUUCCUGGGCGCCUAAAAGAAAAAAUUCUCAUGAAGCAGUAAAAAGAAGUGUGGAUCCCUACCUCCAAACCCUUACCCUGGAACCGAGUCCCAAGACGGUGUCAGGUAGGUAGACCC
ensembl:lncRNA